rnacentral:lncRNA from 1 species
GGGAGAAAGAAGCUGAUUUUAUUUCUCCUUCUGUUGAAGUCUCUGGCAGUGGCAGCAGUAGCAGCAGUGGCAGCAGCUGCGGCAAUAGCAGUAGCAGCGGCAGUAGGUGACUGAGUUUCUGCUCAGGUGGAGUUUCAACAGCAGUGGGGGCAGGGAGUGCUCUCGCAGCCUCUGCAGCAGGGCGUUCCUGGGCUCUGGAUCUGGCAGCAUCAGUGUCCGUGACAGGCAGCCCUUGGUGGGAGUUUAAUUUCUCGGCUUCCUGAAAGAUUUCCAAUAACGGCCGUGGAGCAGCAAGUAUCACAGCAGCUUCAGCCACCGAGCAAUCACCGACUCUUUGUGGAUCACACCAUAUUUCCUUUUGUUCAGCCAGCCUUAGGACGGCCCUGAAAGCAGCAGAUCUCACCUGCAUUGGAGGAUGAGACGCCACAUGAAGAAGAAAGAAGACGCCACAGACAGCAGCGCAGUACCACCUUCCAGAGAUGUCCUAAAAACAUCCUGAGUUUCUUUGGCCUGCCAGAAAGUCACCUUCCUGACUCACCUGUAAGGCUGGGAACUCCAUAAUCCAGUUGGAAAUGCAGAAAUCACCUGUCUUCUGCGUCGAUCAGGCUGGGAGCUGCAGACCGGAGCUGUUCCUAUUCGGCCAUCUUGGAAUGGAC